GGGUUAAGUCCCGCAACGAGCGCAACCCUUAUCCUUAGUUGCCAGCACGUAAUGGUGGGAACUCUGGGGAGACUGCCGGUGAUAAACCGGAGGAAGGUGGGGACGACGUCAAGUCAUCAUGGCCCUUACGGGAUGGGCUACACACGUGCUACAAUGGCGCAUACAAAGGGCAGCGAACCUGCGAAGGUAAGCGAAUCUCAUAAAGUGCGUCGUAGUCCGGAUUGGAGUCUGCAACUCGACUCCAUGAAGUCGGAAUCGCUAGUAAUCGUGGAUCAGAAUGCCACGGUGAAUACGUUCCCGGGCCUUGUACACACCGCCCGUCACACCAUGGGAGUGGGCUGCACCAGAAGUGGUUAGUUUAACCUCGGAGAA
rnacentral:rRNA from 1 species